rnacentral:rRNA from 1 species
CAGCCGCCACGGUAAUACGAAGGGGGCUAGCGUUGCUCGGAAUGACUGGGCGUAAAGGGCGCGUAGGCGGAUGGCACAGUCAGAUGUGAAAUUCCCGGGCUUAACCUGGGGGCUGCAUUUGAUACGUGUUGUCUAGAGUGAGGAAGAGGGUCGUGGAAUUCCCAGUGUAGAGGUGAAAUUCGUAGAUAUUGGGAAGAACACCGGUGGCGAAGGCGGCGACCUGGUCCUUUACUGACGCUGAGGCGCGAAAGCGUGGGGAGCAAACAGGAUUAGAUACCCGUGUAGUCCCUGUCUCUUAUAA